rnacentral:lncRNA from 1 species
AAAAGGCCGUCGUGGAAAUUCUCCAAAAGCCUCGCUACGGUCCGAACCCCCGUAAAUAAGAAGUUCACCCACCUCUGCGUUGAUAAUUCUCCAUCAAGGCAGUCAGUUCCUCUCCCAGAAACUAGUUAUCUCCCUCUUGGAGACUAGGAAGUCAACAGAAUGGCCGUUCUAGUUCCAUCCUAGAACCAUAGAAUUUUAUAGAUGAAAGAACCUUAAGAGAUCCUUGGUCCAAACUCUUUUGAAGUAGGGCAGGGAUUCAAAGAAGUUUAACCUACCCAAGAUUGACCAGCAGAGUCCUGGUCUGUACUCCCUCGCUGCUUUUCCUUAUUGAACAACUGACCUUAUAGGUAUCAUUCAGAGUUAAUCUUUUUAAAUGUUCAUUUCCCCUGUUUCUUUUUAUCCUGAAUUAGUGUUUAUGAGAACACCUUUCUCUGAAGCGUGGAAGGGCCCUCUCUUUGUUCCCUUCAUAAUCACUAGGAGGAUUGACUCUACCACACAAGGAUUUAUCCCCAGAUGUAUGCUCUUGCAGUAACUGAGGCAGGGCAAGGGGAGUGGCAACUUGCAGCCUGACUUAACUCCACACCUUGACUCCCUGCUGCUUUUCCAUCUGGGAGAAGAGUAUUUUGAAGGAUGCCUUUAAAAGAGAAAAGGAUAGUAUGCCCUGAGGCGGUAGGAAAUAACGUUUUGGAAACAGUUUUCAAGUUAGGGAGGAUAACCAGUUGCAAAGGUUUCCAAAAUAGAAAAACAAAACACUGACCGUCUCUCAGAUAGCAGCAUAUUAGCCAUUCCUUUUUACUUAGUAUUUAGUUACUUUUGAUUUUUUUAAAAAAGCAGUAGUCAAAAGAACCAAAAAAGGAUAAAAGCAUGACUCAAAGGAGAAAGUUACAAUAAUAGAAAAAUCUAUCAGUGAAACAAGAAAAAUAUUCCACUAGAACUUCAAACUUUCACAAUUCUUGCAAAACAUUUCUCUGGGUCACUGCUAAUGGGACGCUUCUAUUCUGUCUAUUACAGCAUUGCUACAUCUAUGAAGGAAGCUGAAAAGGGGGAAGAUUUUUUUUUCCUUUCUAGCCCUGUUGCUGAUACUCAGAAUACUGUCUUUACCCAACCCCUAGACCCCAAAAUCACUCAUCAAAAGGAGAGCAACCUUCCCAGGUGGCGCAGCAGU